GAGUAUUUAAAUUGGAGCUCAACCUAUUAAAUUAUCAAUGUAUUGAACUUUCUCCUCCACUUUCAACAGCACACACAGCUUCUUCAUCUUCUUUCUCCUUCAUCCUUCCCCAUGUUAUUCUUAAUGUUAGCAUGCAAUAUCAAGAAUCAAAUCCUCACUCUACUGGAUUUCUCCAAUUUCUUAAUUGUUACAGGGUGUUUUAUCACAUUCACAUACAUGGCCAUGGGCACCACACAAUGUCUCCCCUCAAUUUCUUCUUAGUUCUAUGGUAAUUUCUUCUUAGUUCUAUGGCAAUUUCUUACCUAAUCUAGCAAUCUCACUAUUUUCUUUUCAGAAAUUCUCAGUCAUGUUUUGCAAAUUGAUGCAUCAUUUUCUAAUAAAAUGUGGAUGGAAAUUAAAAAUUUGUGGCCCAAACAAUGAUCCAAAGGGCCUUUGUUGGGCUCUUGAUGUUUCUCUAGUUUGUAUUUUUUUAUUAUCAGCAAGAAUAUUUUUGUCAUGAGUUCUUGCCAAGGUAUGGAUUCAUGGAUUCAAAAUUAUACUGUUAGAUAUUUUCAAAUUUGUUUUUGUCACUCAAUCCCUUAAAACUUAAGUUCUCACCUAUUUAAAUUAUUCCAUCCAUCCAUUUUUAUUUCUCAUAUUUAAAUUUUA
rnacentral:misc_RNA from 1 species